CGUUCUCUGCGCUGUUCGCCAGCGCACUUUACAUUUGCCUUGUUCCUACAUACGACCCCGGGUCGACCUUACGUGACGGUUGCGCAUGUCCGCCAAGUGCGGAAAGCCUUGAAGUCACGUGGUUCUCCCACCUGAUCCUUUGGAUCAAGGUCGUUUGGUGCGCAGCGGCAGUGCGGAGGACGU
rnacentral:other from 1 species